rnacentral:tRNA from 1 species
AAGACGCUAGUAAAACAGAUCAUUACACUGCCUUGUCAAGGCAGAAUUGUGGGUUUAAGUCCCGCGCGUCUUG